GGAUGUGAGGGUGAUCUGGCUGCGAUAUCUGUCACCCAUUGAUCACCAGGGUUGAUUUGGCUGAUCUGGCUGGCUAGGCGGAUGUCCCCUUUCUCCCUCACCGCUCCAUGUGCAUCCCUCCCGAAACUGUGCGCCUGGUCAAAGAGGAUGGCCUUCCCAGAAUAGAGAGGGACCGGGUCUUCGGUAGAGGGUAUAUGAGUAGCUGCGCUCCCCUGCUAGAACCUCCAAAGGAGCUCUCAAGAAUGCAAAGGACUCUGGAGGGGGGAGGGGCUUUCAAGUGCAU
ensembl:misc_RNA 7SK 7SK RNA